CAGUGAUUUCUAUUGGACCAGCCUGCCAUGGCAGAAUGGGACUCCAGUUUCGUCGGAAUCUAAAAGGAACAAACCACCACAAUUAUGCAGAGGAAAACUGACUUGCAGCAAAGAAGGAACAUAUGUCAGAUACCAACACAGGAGGAUGAGCCAUCAGCACUUAAAUGCAAUAGGUACAUGCUGUGGAAGUGAGGCUUGGGCUCUUCCCUGGCUCAAUAUUUGGAUAUGGAAGAAUAGAAGCUUUGUAAAGGCCAGUAAGGCUCACUGAGUAAAGACACUUACCAUGAAAGCCUGGAGACUUGAGUUCAUCUCCAGGAAUGAAGGAAGUGACUCCACAAAAUUGUCUUUGGCCUCACACAUACAGUGGACAUACCCACAAUAAUAUUAAAUAAUAAUAAUGAAAUUCA